rnacentral:rRNA from 1 species
CUUACACAUGCAAGUCGAACGAGAAAUUUUAGCUUGCUAGAGAAAGUAAAGUGGCGCACGGGUGAGUAACGCGUGGGUAAUCUGCCUCCGAAUCGGGGAUAACAUUGCGAAAGCGAUGCUAAUACCGGAUAAAAUCUGGUUGGCUUCGGUGAACCGGAUCAAAGGUGGUCUCUUUAUAAAAGCUACCGUUUGGAGAUGAGCUCGCGUACCAUUAGCUAGUUGGUGAGGUAAAGGCUCACCAAGGCGACGAUGGUUAGCUGGUCUGAGAGGAUGAUCAGCCACACCGGAACUGGAACACGGUCCGGACUCCUACGGGAGGCAGCAGUGAGGAAUUUUGCGCAAUGGGGGAAACCCUGACGCAGCAACGCCGCGUGAGUGAUGAAGGCUUUCGGGUCGUAAAGCUCUGUCAGGUGGGAAGAACCCACCAAGUGUUAAGACCACUUGGUGCUGACGGUACCACCGAAGGAAGCACCGGCUAACUCCGUGCCAGCAGCCGCGGUAAUACGGGGGGUGCGAGCGUUAUUCGGAAUCAUUGGGCGUAAAGGGCGCGCAGGCGGCUUUGUAAGUCAGAUGUGAAAUCCCGGGGCUUAACCCCGGAAGUGCAUAUGAAACUAUGAGACUUGAGUAUGGGAGAGGGAAGCGGAAUUCCUGGUGUAGCGGUGAAAUGCGUAGAUAUCAGGAGGAACACCGGUGGCGAAGGCGGCUUCCUGGACCAAUACUGACGCUGAGGCGCGAAGGCGUGGGGAGCGAACAGGAUUAGAUACCCUGGUAGUCCACGCAGUAAACGUUGAUCACUACGUGUAGCGGGGUAUAGACCCCUGCUGUG